UACGUAGGGGGCGAGCGUUGUCCGGAUUUAUUGGGCGUAAAGAGCGUGUAGGCGGCCAGACAGGUCAGCUGUGAAAACUCGAGGCUCAACCUCGAGACGUCGGUUGAAACCGUCUGGCUAGAGUCCGGAAGAGGAGAGUGGAAUUCCCGGUGUAGCGGUGAAAUGUGUAGAGAUCGGGAGGAACACCGGUGGCGAAGGCGGGUCUCUGGGCAAUUCCUGACGCUGAGGCGCGAAAGCGUGGGGAGCAAACGGG
rnacentral:rRNA from 1 species